AAAGGGCCCUGACAAGAGGAUGGGACUGCAGUUGUGGCUGCCAGGGCCCCGGCCAGGGUGAAAACAAGGAACAUUCCAGAGAAGAUCACAAGGAUGCGAAUAAAAUCGGAGCUGCACAGGGAUCUUUGGGCUGUAAUAGGAGGGGACACACAGGGGUUAGGGGAGGGUCUAGCCCUUGGCUCCCUCAGCCCAGCCCUCCUGUCACCUUGCCUCUCCCCUUUCCCCCACCUUAUUCUAUCCCACCCGCCACCGUUGGCCAACUCCUCUCCUAAACAGUGGACUCUGCUUUUUCCCCUCCUCUUAUCCCUAAUCCUAGGAGCUUUCUGUCUGGCUUCCCUCCUGGCCCCUCGUGUAUGCAUUCUCUCUAGCGGUGGGGAUUAAGGAGAAAACUCACGUGGCCAGUGGGUAGAGAGAGUCCGGGCAGGCAGCUGCCUGAAGUCAGCCAGAGUCUGCAUGUGCCCAGCUGUCCUGGCCUCCAGCAUCUCUGGAAAAACAGAGACAGAAUGAGUAGCAGCAGGGGACCCCAUAGGGCACAUCUGAAGGCCUGAGAGGUGCUGGAUGGGAUGGGAAGGCAGAAACAGGCUGACCUUAUCUAGGGGUAGGAGUGGGGAGUACUGGUUGGGGUAUCACCGCUACCCCACGUGAUGGCACAGAGAGUUGCCUGGAACUUACCACUGACAUAAGGUUGGAGUGCAGUGGCACGAUCUCGGCUCAGUGCAACCUCCGCCUCCUGAGUUCAAGUGAUUCUCCUGCCUCAGCCUCCCUAGUAGCUGGGAUUACAGGACAAGGAGAGGGACAAAUUCCUUCUUGGCAUCCUUAUGGCCCUGUGACCUGCUAAUGAAUGCUGACUCUGAGUUGCUACUAGAAUUUGGUUUCCUUGUGGCUUCCCAGGAAUUGGUCUCACUCUGCUCACUCUGUCUCCCAAGCUGGAGUGCAGUGGUACAGUCACGGCUCACUGCAGCCUCCACUUCCUGGACUCAAGUGAUCUUCUCACUUCAGCCUUCUGAGUAGCUGGGACUACAGGUAGACCCAGUGUAAUCACAAGCAUCCUUGUAAGUGGCAAAGAGGCAGAGGAGACAGCGCCAGAGAGGCAGCUGCAUGAGAAGGAUCAAGAUGUUGCUGACUUUGAAGUUGGAAGAAGAAGGCCAUGAGCCUCAGUAUGUGGGCGGCUUCUAGAAGCUGGAAGGGGCAAGGAGAUGGAUUUGACCCUUCAGCCUCCAGGGGCAGCUGUACCUGCCAUCACUGAUUGUAGCCUGGUGAGGCCUGUUUUAGACUUCUGACCUGUAGAGCUGUAACAUAAUACAUUUGGGUUGUUUUCAACCACUAAGUUUGUGGUAAUUUGUUGUAGCAGCUGUAGAAAAUGAAUACAUAUGAAUCCUCUGGCAUUUGUUUGAGAUUUGCUCUAUGGCCUAGUAUGUGGUUGUAAAUGUUCCAUCUGUGCCUGAAAAAAUGUAUAUUUCU
rnacentral:lncRNA from 1 species